rnacentral:rRNA from 1 species
UACGUAGGGAGCAAGCGUUGUCCGGAAUCAUUGGGCGUAAAGCGCGCGUAGGCGGCCCUGUUAGUCCGCUGUAAAAGUCAAAGGCUCAACCUUUGAAUGCCGGUGGAUACUGCAGGGCUAGAGUCCGGAAGAGGCGAGUGGAAUUCCUGGUGUAGCGGUGGAAUGCGCAGAUAUCAGGAGGAACACCAACGGCGAAGGCAGCUCGCUGGGACGGUACUGACGCUGAGGCGCGAAAGCGUGGGGAGCGAACAGG